UGGAUCGUGUUUAUAAACGUGUUGAUUCAGUAAUUUAGUGUUUUUGACAACUUUUACAAGAUUUACACCAGACUGGAGGAAAGGGAGCACAUAUGUUCGAAUGAGUUGUGAAUUACAUUAAACAUUAAAUAAUGGAACUUGAGAGCAAGACAACUACCAUAUUAGAUCUGCCUAUCGAAGUGUUGGACCUCGUCCUUGGAGAAUUGCGUCAGCUCAAAGAUAAAGUGAAUUUUGGUCGUGCUCAUCCGUUUCUCCGUGAAGUAUUUAUAUAUCACAGUCGGAAUCGGUUCAACAGAAUUUCACUUCAAGCUAUACAAAAGAAUGAAUUGUCCUUUGUUUUGAAAUGGUGUGGUACAAAAGUGACUUCAAUCACUUGCGAGAACGGCAAUGGUGAACUGACCGGAGAGGCGGUCAAGCUUGCAGGAGAUUACUGUCCUAAUUUGGAGAGCUUGGAUAUUUUGAUAACAGCUGAGAAUGUUAAUAUCUUAGAAGAAAAUAUGAUAAAACUGCAAAAUCUUGAUGAAAUUGAAAUAUAUAGUCCAAAAUCACAUUCUGAUGUUGAUGUUGAGAAUUUACUAAGAACUUUUCAGCAGUUGCCGAAGUUGCAAAGCUUGUUAUUGAAUAUAUACGAUUGGAAGAUAAGUAAUUUAACGCCGCUGAACAACUUGACAAAGGUGGAAAAUUUGACAAUUUGGCGUCUUGAUGAACCGGAGGAAGUUGACAUCUUUAGCAAUUUAUGGGGAAAUUUAACGAGUUUAACUAUUGACACUGAUUCAGAUGUUUACAAUAUACUAUGUGACCUCUGUGUCAAGCUAGAAACACUUGAAAUGCGAAACCUUAGCGAUUAUUAUAAAGAAGGUAUUGGAUAUUUUCCAAAAUUGAAGCACCUUUAUUACGAUCACUUGGUUGGAGAAGGUGAAAGUUACGGCUUACAUGCUUCACUUUUAAGUGAUAAAUACAAUAAUCAACUUGAGAGCCUUUUAUCUAGUAAAAGCGAAGUAUCCACUGUCGAACAGGCAAAGCGACUUGCAGAACUAAGAGCGCUUAAAACAAUGCAUUUGUGUGCUAUUGCUUCAAGUUGUAUAAAGUAUAUAGCUAGUAUACCUUUGGAGAAAUUGACAAUAAGCUAUAUUGAUUGGGAAGACCUGUUUAUAUUUCUACGUGAGUGUAAGACACUCAGAUGGUUACUAGUCUGUUUCAUUGAAAAACCAGAACAAGAUUUUACUUACAAACUUUUGAAUAUUUUGGAAGCAAAUGGAGUACAACCCGAAAAACCGUUCGUUUUGGAAAUUAACAGACGACAUUAUAGUAGUAUUGGAGGGAUAAUGCCACUGAUGGUAUCAAAUUCGAAACGUAAAUUGUUAAAAAUAAAAUGGAGAAUUUAAUUUUUUUUUUGGAAAUACGAUCUAUAAAUUUGAAUAACAUAAUAAAAGAGCUGGCCUCCAAUCCAAUUGGAAAUCUUUUAUAUUUUCUAUAAAUAAUUUUUUUUCUAUUGCAAACCCCGUGUGUACUUUUCUUAAACUGUGUACAAUUAAGUACAAGCAUAAUAAAUAAGUUGACAUCGUGUUCUAAUGCAAAGUUAUUAAGAGUUCAACGUUCUUCAUAUAAAUUUAUUCCUCCAUAUCAAACCUAU